AGAAAUUUAGUUAAAAGAUAACAUUAAUAUGUCAUAUUAAAAUAAUUGAAUAUCAAUAAUUUCUA
rnacentral:tRNA from 1 species